AGGUCAUGUUAAGGACAAUUCCUUAACAACCCCUUGUAACGUUCCCACGCUUCGUAAAGUGACUCUCCUGGGUUUUGCUCAAAGUUGGCUAUUGCCUUUUAAAGUUU